GCACGAAGGCAGUAGCUAGCCAUGUGCAAUUACGCGUCAGGAGCACCAUUGCCAUUGCCACCACUCGCACACGCGGAACUCGCUUCAUCCACUUCCUACAGUGCGUUUUAUGUGUUCUUAUAAAUAUAUGUAUCUGCGCUUGCUCCGCGCUAACUCUUCUUUCACUCUCACUUUCAACUCCAAACGACUCCAGCCAAUACCCGCGCCCAUUUCUGAGACAACCUUCUUAUCCUUUCGCCGACAGAUCUCAACUCUCGCCAUGUCUCGCCGUCCUAACUUCCAGGGCGGCCGCCGAGGUGGCGGCGGCGGCAGCAGUAGUAGCGCACCUGGUCGCGGUGGCGGAGGACGUGGAGGAGGAGGAGGAGGACGAGGACGUGGUGAGCAGCGGUGGUGGGACCCAGUGUGGCGAGCGGAGCGCUUGAGACAGAAAGCCGUUGAGAUGGAAGUUCUUGAUGAGAAUGAAUGGUGGAAUAAGAUGGAGAAAAUGAAGAAUGGAGGAGAUCAGGAGAUGAUUGUAAAGCGUAAUUACAGUCGUGAUGACCAGCAAACCCUCUCUGACAUGGCUUAUCAAUUGAGUCUUUACUUCCAUGCAUAUAAUAAAGGCAAGACUCUUGUGGUUAGCAAAGUUCCGUUGCCAAAUUAUCGGGCUGAUCUUGAUGAGCGUCAUGGAUCCACACAGAAAGAGAUCCGAAUGUCUACUGAGACUGAGAGGAGAGUUGGAAAUCUUUUGAACAGCUCGCAGAGAGCAGCACCUGCUGACUCUGCUGCAGCAUCUGGUCAGGCGGACAGACAACCAUCAAGUGGUCUAAAGAUAACGAAACCUGUAUCUACCUCGGAGCCGGAUUCUGCUAAGGAGAAACUCAGUAUUGAAUUAAAGCAGAGGCAGGAUAAAAUGAUGGCAAGUAAUUGUGUGAAGGAAUUGCAGUCUUUUAGGCAAAAGCUCCCUGCAUUCAAAGUGAAAGGCGAGUUUCUGAAAGCUGUUUCUGAAAAUCAGGUUUUAGUUAUUUCAGGAGAGACGGGUUGUGGUAAAACAACACAGCUACCUCAAUAUGUAUUAGAUGAGGAGAUAGCAAGUCUGCGUGGCGCUGACUGCAGCAUAAUAUGCACACAACCCCGUCGUAUAUCUGCCAUAUCUGUUGCAGCUCGAAUAUCAUCUGAACGGGGAGAGAAUCUUGGUGAAACUGUUGGUUAUCAGAUUCGCUUGGAGGCAAAACGUUCUGCUCAAACACGGCUCCUAUUUUGCACCACUGGUGUUUUACUCCGGCAGUUGGUUCAAGAUCCAGAUUUGACUGGUGUAAGCCAUUUGUUAGUAGAUGAAAUUCAUGAAAGGGGCAUGAAUGAGGACUUUUUGUUAAUUAUUUUGCAUGACCUUCUCCCUCGGCGUCCAGAUUUACGUCUUAUUCUAAUGAGUGCAACCAUCAAUGCCAACUUGUUCUCAAAAUACUUUGGAAAUGCCCCAACUAUUCAUAUACCGGGAUUGACUUUCCCUGUGACUGAGUUAUUUCUAGAAGACAUAUUGGAGAAAUCUCGUUAUAAAAUCCAAUCAGAGGCUGGCAACUUUCAGGGGAAUUCAAGGAGGAGGAGGAGGAGGGAGCAAGAUUCCAAGAAGGAUCCUUUGACUGAAUUAUUUGAGGAUGUUGAUAUUGAUUCUAAAUACAAGAAUUACAGUGCAUCUACUCGACUUUCUCUUGAAGCUUGGUCUGGUUCACCGCUUGACUUGGGUCUGGUGGAGUCAGCUAUUGAAUUUAUUUGUCUCCAUGAAGGGGAUGGUGCAAUUCUUGUAUUUCUUACAGGCUGGGAUGAGAUUUCCAAGCUACUUGAUCGGAUUAAAGGAAACAAACUUUUGGGAGACCAAAGCAAGUUUUUAGUCCUUCCUCUACAUGGUUCAAUGCCUACCAUCAACCAACGUGAAAUAUUUGAUCGUCCUCCCCCUAACAAGCGAAAAAUAGUUCUUGCAACCAAUAUUGCAGAGAGUAGUAUCACCAUAGAUGAUGUUGUGUAUGUUGUAGACUGUGGAAAGGCAAAGGAAACCAGUUAUGAUGCUCUAAACAAGCUAGCUUGUCUAUUACCAUCAUGGAUUUCAAAGGCUUCAGCACAUCAGAGACGAGGUCGAGCUGGCCGUGUGCAACCUGGAGUUUGUUAUAGAUUGUAUCCAAAAAUUAUCCAUGAUGCAAUGCUUCAGUAUCAGUUGCCUGAAAUUCUCCGAACACCUCUGCAAGAGCUAUGUCUGCACAUUAAAAGCUUACAGCUAGGAGCUGUUGGAUCAUUUUUGGCAAAGGCGCUCCAGCCACCAGAUCCUCUUUCUGUUCAAAAUGCUAUUGAACUGCUUAAAACCAUCGGGGCUUUAGAUGAUAAUGAGGAGCUUACUCCACUUGGUCGCCAUCUUUGUACUCUGCCCCUGGACCCAAAUAUUGGAAAGAUGCUUCUGAUGGGGUCUGUCUUUCAAUGCCUCAAUCCUGCUUUAACAAUUGCAGCUGCUCUUGCUCAUCGUGAUCCAUUUGUUCUUCCAAUAGAUAGGAAAAAUGAGGCUGAUGCUGCUAAAAGAUCCUUUGCUGGUGAUUCUUGCAGUGAUCACAUCGCACUUGUUAAAGCUUUUGAAGGAUAUAGGGAGGCAAAACGUAAUCGAAAUGAAAGAGCUUUUUGUUGGGAGAAUUUUUUAUCCCCAAUAACUCUGCAGAUGAUGGAAGAUAUGAGAGAGCAAUUUCUCAACCUGCUAACAGACAUUGGCUUUGUUGACAAAUCAAGGGGUGCAGGAGUAAGCUACUAGAUUUUCAAAUUUUUCAUGUUCCUAAUGGGAAUCCCUUUUUUGUGAUGCCAUACAAUGAACUUUGAUUUGAUAGUUCUGUUGGUGAACCAUCUCUAACAUCUUUUCUUCUGAGCUUUAUCUGUAUAAUUACUUCAUUGUGUGCAUCUAUCUGAAAUAGGAAGAAUUGCAGGGCAAACUAUUUAUAGAUGUGUAUAUGCUUCAUGUAGGCUUACAAUCAAUACAGCCAUGACUUAGAGAUGGUGUCAGCAAUCCUUUGUGCUGGGCUUUACCCAAAUGUUGUGCAGUGCAAAAGAAGAGGAAAGCGCACGGCAUUCUACACUAAAGAAGUUGGGAAAGUUGACAUACAUCCUGCAUCUGUAAAUGCUGGGGUUCAUCUUUUCCCUCUGCCAUACAUGGUUUAUAGUGAGAAGGUGAAAACAAGUGGCAUUUAUAUUCGAGACUCAACAAAUAUAUCAGAUUAUGCUUUGCUUCUCUUUGGUGGUAGUCUUAUUCCUAGCAAUCAGGGGGAAGGUAUUGACAUGCUUGGAGGUUACCUUCAUUUCUCUGCAUCAAAGAGCGUAUUAGAGUUGAUACGGGUAAAGCUUAGUUUUUUCUUCUAGCUUACAACUGUUGGAUAAUGUUAGCAUGUUUUUCUCCUCAUUUUUACCUUUUCUUAAUCUGAAACUUUUAAUCAUAUCAAGCAUCUUGAAGGUGAUAAUUGUUGGUUUCGAUAAUGGCGAUUUGCAGAAAUUGCGGGCAGAACUUGAUAAGCUUCUCUGGAGGAAGAUUGAGGACCCAAGCUUAGACAUAUCUGCGGAGGGAAAGGGGGUUGUUUCUGCUGUGAUUGAGUUAUUGCACAGUUACAAUGUACGUUACUAAAUUUUGUUCUCAGGACAAACAUUUUUUAAUAACAGUCCUGUCAUUUGCCUAAAUUAUUUUUUAUUAUUUAAUAACCAUGUGAUAUUAAUGGAUCAGCCGUCACUUGAUGGAAGGUUUGUGAAUUGCCUGGCAGAAUCAAAUAAAACUCGCCCUCC
rnacentral:misc_RNA from 1 species